rnacentral:rRNA from 1 species
UACGUAGGGUGCAAGCGUUAAUCGGAAUUACUGGGCGUAAAGCGCACGCAGGGGGCUGAGAAAGUCGAUUGUGAAAGCCCUGGGCUUAACCUGGGAAUUGCAGUCGAAACUACUCGGCUAGAGUAUGGGAGAGGGUAGUGGAAUUCCCGGUGUAGCGGUGAAAUGCGUAGAUAUCGGGAGGAACAUCAGUGGCGAAGGCGGCUACCUGGCCCAAUACUGACGCUCAGGUGCGACAGCGUGGGGAGCAAACAGG